AGCGAACGCUGGCGGCAGGCUUAACACAUGCAAGUCGAACGGGCAUCUUCGGAUGUCAGUGGCAGACGGGUGAGUAACACGUGGGAACGUACCCUUCGGUUCGGAAUAACUCAGGGAAACUUGAGCUAAUACCGGAUACGCCCUUUUGGGGAAAGGUUUACUGCCGAAGGAUCGGCCCGCGUCUGAUUGGCUUGUUGGUGGGGUAACGGCCUACCCAGGCGACGAUCAGUAGCUGGUCUGAGAGGAUGAUCAGCCACACUGGGACUGAGACACGGCCCAGACUCCUACGGGAGGCAGCAGUGGGGAAUAUUGGACAAUGGGCGCAAGCCUGAUCCAGCCAUGCCGCGUGAGUGAUGAAGGCCGUAGGGUUGUAAAGCUCUUUUGUCCGGGACGAUAAUGACGGUACCGGAAGAAUAAGCCCCGGCUAACUUCGUG
rnacentral:rRNA from 1 species